UCUGAACCACUGGAUAUGGACUAUAAUAUUUAAUAGAUAACAUAAAAUUCUUUCUCGAGGUCACCGUUAACUGUUUAUAUGGCUGCAAUUUCAGGUGUACUUCAUCCCCAAUUUCAAAUUCCCGUUCUGACCUCUUAUUGUCUGCAUAUAAUUUCAUCCUCUCCCGAGCCUUCUAGAGAUUUUAUUUGAGCAAUUGUUGUGUAACAUCCAUGUUUUUCACACAUUCCUCUACCACAGGGUCACAAACUUCACUUCUUGGUGGUAAUUCAAGAUAGCAGGAUUGAUACCAUGCAAAGCCUUGUAGGGACUCAUCUCAAUUGCUGUAUGAAAAGUGGUGUUGUACCACCAUCCAGCUAAUGGUAUCCACCUCCUCCACUUUGUUGGCUUAUGUCUCGUCAUGCAUCUUAUAUACAUUUUAAUGCAUUGAUUUACCCGUUCACUCUGUCCAUCAGUUUGGGGGAUGAUAAUUUGUGUUUAAUUUAAUUUGAGUUCCCAUAAAUUUAAAUAAUUUCUUCAAAAAUUACUGAUAAAUUCUCUAUCUAUCUGAUAUGAUAGUUUUUGGCGGUCCAUGGAGUUUAACCACUGAAUCUAAGACAAGUUGGGCCACUUGUGAGGUUGUGAAAGGUGUGUUUGUUGGAAUUUGAG
rnacentral:lncRNA from 1 species